CAUUAAAUACAGAGCCGGACAAUUAAUCGAAAAUGUAUCACCAUCCAAAUUCUGAAGCAGUUAUCGACAUAUUUUUCCAAAUGACGAUAAUUUCAAUAAUUUCUUCCUGUUGA